AACACACGGGGUGCUGCGCUCAAAGGAUGCGGCUGAGAUGAUACCCAUAUAACCUGAUGCGGGUAAUGCCGACGAAGGGAAUGUAA
rnacentral:ncRNA from 1 species